rnacentral:rRNA from 1 species
UACGAAGGGGCUAGCGUUGUUCGGAUUUGACUGGGCGUAAAGCGCACGUAGGCGGAUCGUUAAGUCGGGGUGAAAUCCUGGAGCUCAACUCCAGAACUGCCUUCGAUACUGGCGAUCUUGAGUCCGGAAGAGGUGAGUGGAACUCCUAGUGUAGAGGUGGAAUUCGUAGAUAUUAGGAAGAACACCAGUGGCGAAGGCGGCUCAUGGUCCGGUACUGACGCUGAGGUGACGAAAGCGUGGGGAGCAAACAGG